GACAGAGGUGCCGAGCGUUAGGCGGAAUCACUGGGCUUAAAGCGUGUGUAGGCGGACCGUUAAGUACCUUGUGAAAUCCCCCGGCUCAACCGGGGAACGGCUGGGUAUACUGGCGGUCUUGAGGCAUCCAGGGGCAGUCGGAACAGACGGUGGAGCGGUGAAAUGCGUAGAUAUCGUCUGGAACGCCGAAGGUGAAAACAGACUGCUGGGGAUGUGCUGACGCUGAGACACGAAAGCCAGGGGAGCGAACGGG
rnacentral:rRNA from 1 species